UACGUAGGUGGCAAGCGUUACUCGGAAUCACUAGGCGUAAAGCGCGGGUAGGCGGUUGGGUAAGUCUCUUGUGAAAGCUCCCGGCUUAACUGGGAGAGGUCAAGGGAAACUACCUGGCUAGAGUGCGGUAGAGGAAGCUGGAAUUCCUGGUGUAGCGGUGAAAUGCGUAGAUAUCAGGAGGAACACCUAUGGCGAAAGCAGGCUUCUGGACCGUCACUGACGCUGAUCCGCGAAAGCUAGGGGAGCAAACAGG
rnacentral:rRNA from 1 species